rnacentral:rRNA from 1 species
AACGAACGCUGGCGGCAGGCUUAACACAUGCAAGUCGAGCGCCCCGCAAGGGGAGCGGCAGACGGGUGAGUAACGCGUGGGAAUCUACCCAUCUCUACGGAAUAACGCAUGGAAACGUGUGCUAAUACCGUAUACGUCCUUCGGGAGAAAGAUUUAUCGGAGAUGGAUGAGCCCGCGUUGGAUUAGCUAGUUGGUGGGGUAAAGGCCUACCAAGGCGACGAUCCAUAGCUGGUCUGAGAGGAUGAUCAGCCACACUGGGACUGAGACACGGCCCAGACUCCUACGGGAGGCAGCAGUGGGGAAUAUUGGACAAUGGGCGCAAGCCUGAUCCAGCCAUGCCGCGUGAGUGGUGAAGGCCCUAGGGUUGUAAAGCUCUUUCACCGGUGAAGAUAAUGACGGUAACCGGAGAAGCAGCCCCGGCUAACUUCGUGCCAGCCGCCGCGGUAACAC